GGCCAUAUUUGACAUCCUCCUGCUCCAAACCUCCCCCUGCCCCGAAAUGUCUGCUCAUGAAAGCCACAUUACAAUGAGGGACUUCUGUUUCAGGCAGAAUGAUUCCCAUCAGCUUCAGAACCAAAACAGUCCUAACUGCUACAGUUAGUAAGGAUAGAGUUUGAACAAGAGGGAGUUUGAUGUUGCUGAAAGGUCAUUUAUGUCAUGCUAAUGUGCCCAUCUUCACUCAAAGGAUUUUUCUGAGUAGAAACAUGGCCUCAGCUGUUGGACUCUCUUUUGUUUGAGCAUGGAGGGAGGAACAGAG